CUGACCUGUAAAGAAAAACUGUAUGAAAUAGUUAACUGUCAAGAAAGCACUUGUGACCUUGCUGACCAUGUUAGACAUCAUGAAUUUGUUGCCAAUCCACUGAAAGUGCAAAACAGGGAAAGAGUGACAGUUGGAUUUGGAUUGAGUGUGAUAAAGCAUAGGGCCAUGGAGUAUGUGCAUGAAAAGUUGUCUACAGAUCUAUAUAAUACAGGACGGGAUCCAAAACAUCCAUACACUAAUCGAGGCACAGAGAUGAUAUUGGGAAUGAAGAAUGGGCAAUUAGAAAAAAGAUUUAAAGUGUACAGAUUGGGUCCCCAAUAUCUUCUCCACGUACUGGUCAAGGAAAUGAUAGUGAUGAUUUAUAUGGCCACACAUAAUUCACAAUACGACAAGACCAAUGAAUUGUGCCAAGAAACUGAAACAAAUUUGACAACAGAAUGUAGAAAGCUGAAAAAACAGAAAAUCAACUAUUAAUUGAACAAAGAUUUUUGUUUCCUCUGCGACAAAAGUCGCAGAGUGAGACAUAGGUAUUACUAUCCAGUGGCGGUA